rnacentral:rRNA from 1 species
GGAUGAACGCUAGCGGCAGGCUUAACACAUGCAAGUCGAGGGGCAACACGGGUAGCAAUACCUGGUGGCGACCGGCGCAAGGGUGCGUAACGCGUGAGCAACAUGCCCUAUACAGGGGGAUAAUCCAGGGAAACUUGGUCUAAUAUCCCAUAGUAUUUAGAGGUGGCAUCACCACUAAAUUAAAGCUUCGGUGGUAUAGGAUUGGCUCGCGUGACAUUAGCUGGAUGGUGGGGUAACGGCUCACCAUGGCGAUGAUGUCUAGGGGUUCUGAGAGGAAGACCCCCCACACUGGGACUGAGACACGGCCCAGACUCCUACGGGAGGCAGCAGUGAGGAAUAUUGGACAAUGGAUGGAAAUCUGAUCCAGCCAUGCCGCGUGCAGGAAGACGGCCCUAUGGGUUGUAAACUGCUUUUAUAUGGGAGCAAUAAGGUUUACGCGUAGACCGAUGAGAGUACCAUAUGAAUAAGCAUCGGCUAACUCCGUGCCAGCAGCCGCGGUAAUACGGAGGAUGCGAGCGUUAUCCGGAUUUAUUGGGUUUAAAGGGUGCGUAGGCGGCCUUGUAAGUCAGCGGUGAAAUUUUGCAGCUUAACUGUAACAGUGCCGUUGAUACUGCGGGGCUAGGAUUUGGUUGCUGUGGGUGGAAUGUGUGGUGUAGCGGUGAAAUGCUUAGAUAUCACACAGAAUAUCGAUUGCGAAGGCAGCUCACAAAGCCAAGAUUGACGCUGAGGCACGAAAGUGUGGGGAUCAAACAGGAUUAGAUACCCUGGUAGUCCACACUGUAAACGAUGAUAACUCGCUGCCGGCGAUACACAGUCGGUAGCCAAGCGAAAGCGAUAAGUUAUCCACCUGGGGAGUACGACCGCAAGGUUGAAACUCAAAGGAAUUGACGGGGGCCCGCACAAGCGGAGGAGCAUGUGGUUUAAUUCGAUGAUACGCGAGGAACCUUACCAGGGCUCGAACGCAGGAGGAAUACUCCCGAAAGGAAGUAGCCAGAAAUGGCCGCCUGCGAGGUGCUGCAUGGUUGUCGUCAGCUCGUGCCGUGAGGUGUCAGGUUAAGUCCUAUAACGAGCGCAACCCCUAUUCAUAGUUGCCAGCAUAUUACGGUGGGGACUCUAUGAAAACUGCCUGCGCAAGCAGUGAGGAAGGUGGGGAUGACGUCAAAUCAGCACAGCCCUUAUGUCCUGGGCUACACACGUGCUACAAUGGCCGGUACAGAAGGCCGCAACCACGCAAGUGGAAGCUAAUCCCUAAAACCGGUCUCAGUUCGGAUUGGAGUCUGCAACCCGACCCCAUGAAGUCGGAAUCGCUAGUAAUCGCGUAACAGCAUGACGCGGUGAAUACGUUCCCGGGCCU